UUCUGUCAACAACCUGAGGGGAUCCGAUCUUCUCUUUCAUCCGCAGCUGCGAGAGUCUCGAUCCUCUGUUUCGACGAUGACGAUUGUAAAGAUAACGAGCGUUCACCGAUCGCUUACCGAAGCAUCCGUGAAUGCAAAUGUAGUGACAUAAUUGAGACGAGUCCGGUACAACAGCACCGCCACGCUAACUUAUCAAGUCUACACAAUGUCGGUAAAGGGUACUAAUACCACAGUGACAAGAGAUUCGCACCAAUUGCUUGCACGGUUUGCAAGGCGCUGGAUGACAAGGUUCCGGACAUGCGUGCGUACAACCCGAUAAACGUACGAAUUGGCAUUCCUUCUCGCAUUCCAUACAUGGUCAAUUCGCAGGUAUGAUUUUUACACGGCAAUAGUUGGUCACAAGCCCUGCCGCAAGAGCUUGGCUUUGACAUGUGACACG
rnacentral:lncRNA from 1 species